rnacentral:ncRNA from 1 species
CUCAACACACGCGGGAGCUCGCGCCACAGCGGGCUGAGAGGGCGGCUGGGACGAGAGGGUCCCGGUGCCGCCGACCGCCUGAACCUGACCGGGUAAUGCCGGCGUAGGGAGGAAUGUCGUGACGGCAC